GUGCUUGCUUCGGCAGCACAUACACUAAAAUUUGGAACAAUGCAGGGAAGAUUAGCAUGGCCCCUGGCAAGGAUGACAUGCAAAUUCAUGAAGCGUUGCGUAUUUUU
ensembl:snRNA U6 U6 spliceosomal RNA